UUAAGGCAUAUUUGAAUUUUUACAUAAUUUUCAACUGCUAAUUUUAUUAUGCUAGGCUAUGGGACUCUUGGGUUAUUACUGUUACUUGUAUGCAUUUGGCUUAUAUUCAGCAUUACUGCCAAAACUCCAUUUCUGAGUGCACUUAGCAGGUAUUUACUUAGAAUGCAGCCUCAUACAGACAAGGCUGUGAAGUCUGACUUCAUACGGGUGGCCUAGAAGAUCAUGUAUAUGCAUCUCUCAGCCAGUCCUGACAAAGUCCUGGCUUGACGAAAACAGGGGCAAUGUGCAUGUUCGUUAGUGUUGGUUCUAGUGGACGCUUAAGAACAGCUUUUCAGAAUUGGCUUCCUCGUUUGUAAAAUCUUACUUGGCUGUUAGGAGCCUCGUGAUAGCUGAGAAAAUGUUGUAAAAGUAUAGACAGAUCCACAAAGGAACUGCUACUGCUGACAUACAAUCAGUAAAGGCAGCAGAAAUUGUUUCUAGGUGCUAUGAUGCAGGUUCUGCAUUUUUUUUGUUUGAUUUUUUUUUUUAAAUCAAGGUAAUGCAGUUUUCCAUGUCUCCACUGAGUCAUGUUUUAUCUCAAUGAGUUGUAAUGUCAGAAGGCAGGAACAGCUCAGUUUAAAUUGCUAUUGGGAUUGCAUUUCUUCUAAGAUACUCAUAGUCCUCUUUUAGUUAAGCUUAAGGAUGCACGGCCACUUUCUAUUUCCCUCCCCAAAUCCCCCACAGCCCUUCUCCCUGAUAUAUUCUGCAUUGUUGACCAGUUCUCCUCCUUGGAAAGUCCUUCUUUUUAGCUUAUGGCAUCCUGCUCUUUUUGCAACACUUAAAGCUGGGGAACCUGGAAUCAGAAGGCACACACAAUGAUUAUAGCAAUUGGAGUAGUGACACUUAUAAAGACAUGCUGAAAAUGUUGAGAGUCUGGACACUGUGAAAUGAUAGAGCAUAUAGAAUUCAAUCUAUCUAAAUUCAUAGCUAAGACUCUAAAGUGUAUUUCAAAAUUAUAGGUCUAAUGGACUAGCUUUUACUGUGUGACUAUAGUAAUUGUGAGGCACAUAAAUCCCCAUGCUUAACAUCUCAGAGAAGGAAAGGUUAGAAAGGCAGAGAUGGCCUGACAGUUGUCUUCAAAUAUGCAAAUGUCCAAUGUGUGAAAGAACAACUGUUUUGUCUUUCAAUGUCCCAGCUGAGUAGAAAUCAAUGGACAUACAUUUUCAUUAUCAGACAGAAGAGGAGGUAGCAUCCCCACAGAGCACCCAUAGAGUGGUUAUGUAGCAACCAGUACGAAAUAAACCUGAAUAAACAUGACCUCAGUUUCCUUUUCCAAGGCUGCCAUUCCCCUACCAUCUCUCAAUGCUAGGCCACCAUCCUACCCUGGGAACUUUGUGGGUCACUUUCUCUGUUGUUUUUUUAUUUUAACUACCUUUGUAUUAAUCUUAGAUUUGUGACUUUAAAAUGUGUACUUUGAAGCCCUUUCUUUCCAGUAGCUCUUUAAUUCCAAUAACUGGCUCUGGGCAGUAGGACACUUACCUAUUCCUUCAACUGUUCUUCAAGAUGGAGUUCCCCUUUAAAGAUCUUAUUUCAUAAGAAUUCCCACUGUCUCAGAGUAAUGACCUCACUUUUGUGUUUGAACCUUCCAUGUGCUCCCAAUUCUAUGUUCAAUAAACUAACAUUUUUCUUCAGAACUUUUGAAUAUUUUCUUUCUAUCCCCAUUGUCUUUUCUUCUUUUCCUACCUUCUUGUGUGCUUCCUUCCAUGUCUUCCUCAACUCCGCUCUUCUCUCUUUCUUUCCUUUCUUCUCCUUCCUCCCCAUGUCUGGACACAUACCAAGCAAAGUAUUUCACCCCUAAACUCCACACUCACUUCCUCUGUGGCAGUUUUGAAUUGUUAAUACAUGCCCAAGUUGUCUUUAAGCUGUCACCUAGAAGUGUCAGAAGACAAGACUAAGAAAUGUUAUUAAUAUGGCUUCCUAAACAUCACCUGAACAAGAGUAACACCAACAGAUGUGAUAACAUAGAAAAGGAGAGGCUUCAAUUCUAGACAAAGAACCGUCAACGAAGGAUUGCUGAGAGCAGGAGAAUUAUAUACCAACCAAUUAUCAAAUAGUCAACACUGAAAACAUGUACAUGCCAGUAACAUCAUACAGAGUAAGCAGAUUGUAUUAGAAACACACACACACACACACACACACACACACGAGUGCACAUGCACACACAUAUCCACACACCACCACCAUCACCACCACUAUUACCACCACCAGUUAAGGAAAGAGAGGCUAUGAAUUUAGAAGAGCACAGGAGGGUAUGUGGUACAGAUGGAAGUGUUUGGAGGGAGGAAAGGAAUGUGUGAAAUAAUCUAAUUAUAUUAUAAUUUCAAUAAAUAAAAAACU
rnacentral:lncRNA from 1 species